UUUUUUUGUUGUAGUUUGUCGUUAUUGUGUUUGAGAUGUUUGUUUGCUGGAAAAUUUGAAAAGCUAAAUGUAAUUUUUAUUAUAGUUUACUUGAAUUUGUGAUUGUUUUUGAGUUUGUUUAUAAUUGUAAUAGAAUUUCAACGCCUACUUGUUUUUUAAAUUUAUUGUCUUAAUUUGUUGUAAUUUCACUCGAGUUAGUUGUUUGUUUCAUUUGUUUAUAAUUGCAAAAAAAUCAAUUGGAUUUUUCUUUCAGUGUACUUAGAUUCGUAAUUGUAUUCGAGUUUUUUUGUAUUUUUAUUCCAAUUUCAGUUUCUAAUUAUAAUUUGUUUGCUUUGCAUUGUUCAUAUCGAUCUAUUAUCAUGUAGGUUUUUAGUGUUCAAAUUCAUCCUUCAACUAAGUUAUGGUAGCAUAAUUUAAAAUUAUUGUUUGAUUAGUUAGCAAAAAAAUAAAAAUAAUUGACUAAUCAGAUAAUAAAAUAAUGAGGUAAAAUUUCAUAUGAACUCACUUCCUCUAUCGCUCUGGUUCUCUUCUUCAUACACACUUUCGCUUUUUUGUCGCUCACAGACAAUAAAGCACGCCACAAGCUAUACCGAGAACCUGCCAGCGUAAGUAAGAAAGCCACUAUUCGUAGGUUUGCUACAACAAGUAAUUAUACAAAAUCAUUAAAAUAAAAAUUGAAUUUUCAUCACUUACAGCACAAUUUUAAAGAAUGGUCAGGGCCUCCUUUCUUUUGCCAGCGAUGCGAGAAUCAAGACAAACAUACCAAAACCUAGGAAAUAUAAUGUGAAAGACAAGAAGAAAAAGAUUCCUCAUAAAUGCAGUAGCUCAUAGUACCAAACCACUGUAUAAGAUUUCAGCUCCAAUAUCCUGAUUACCAAUUCAAAAAAUGCAACCUUAUUAAAAAUAUUGAAGAAACAAAAAAAUAAUCGUUGACCAAGUACUCCUGGCACUGAAGAAAAAAGAGUACCCUACAUCACUAAGUAUCUGGCAUCAAAUCAAACCACAUAUCUCCUUUUUCCCCAAAGUGGUUCAUAGAGUAGAUAUCCCCUGGAGCUCCCAAAAAAACCCUUUUAAAACUUAAUGUGAUAGAUGAUGCAGAAAUAGAUAGCGUUGUAACUCUCUCCAACUCCAUCAAAAAAAUUUAAAAAAUAAAUUAGGCUUAAAAAAAAUAAAACUAAACUAAAAAAUAUGAUAAAAGAAGGAAGACAAACCUCUUAUUCCACGGAUACCUCAUAAUCAACGUCUAAAAGAGUGCUAUCAACAAAAGAAAAUAAAACACAAGUGACACGUCUGGACCAUCUUAAACUUUUUGCCUAAAGAGUUACAGACUAACAAAAUAUAAAAAUUUUAACUACCCAAAAAGAUAAAAACACAUGCUUAUUUACUUUGAAAGUGCUCCCUAAGGUUGAUAAUAACAUUCGUUAGUCUUACAUUAAAGUAAACAUAAAGAAUAUUGUUGAGUAAAUAAUUCUAAAUAGAAAAUAUAUAUAUAUAUAUAUAUAAUAGAAAAUAAAAUUUAUAUCGUAAGCAAAGCAAAAUAAACUUUUUGUUCCACGAAUAUCUUAUAACUCAACAUGUUUCCAGCAAUGUUGCCCACAAAAGAGAACAAAAAAGAGAUAAUAUAUUAUAUAUAUAUAAAAAAUAAAAAAUAAAAUUUAUAUCGAAAGCAAAGUAAAAUAAACCUUUUGUUCCACGAAUAUAUUAUAACCCAAUAUGUUUCCAGCAGUGUUACCCACAAAAAAGAACAAAAAAGAGAUAAUAUAUUUUAUAUAUAUAUAAAAUAAAAAAUAAAAUUUAUAUCGUAAGCAAAGCAAAAUAAACCUUUUGUUCCACAAAUAUAUUAUAACCCAACAUUUUUCCAGCAGUGUUACCCACAAAAGAGAUAAUAUAUGAUUGAACUCUCUUUAACUUUUUGCCUAAAGAUCUUCAUAGUAACAAAGAAAGAAAAUUUUAACUAGUUAUAGAAAAAAAUAAUAUUGAAUACGUGUUUAUUUACCUGAUUUUUGCUGUUUGAAAUCUACAACAAUUACACAAAAGUGAGUAUAUCAAUUUAUAAAUGAUCAAGACUCUUUUAAAAUCAGAAGACAACCAAUAUCAAUUAAAUGUAACAAAUGCAAGCAUGGACGGAUAUCAAAACUUCAAAUUAAAAAAAAAAUGGACUAAAAUCAAGAAGAACAUACAUUGAAAGAAGACAAUUUUGUUGUCUUCUGCAUAACAUUAAAAACAGUCUAAGGUAUUGCUAUGUUAAUGUACAAAUAAAGAAACUCACUGACGAAAUAAUGCUAAAUUAUUUCAAUUUAUAAUUAUUUCCACUCAUGCAAAUAUUAAAACGAGAUAUUUGUUUUCAGGGCUGAUACUUGGGUUUUACUCUUUUUCCUUGUCAGUUUGUAAGAGAAGUUGUAAUUUAUUUGCGGUAAUUUGUUGUUAUUGUGUUUGAGAUGUUUGUUUGCAGGGAAAGUUGAAGAGUCAAUUGUAAUUUUUAUUUUGGUUUACUUGACAGAGUAAUUGUAUUUGAAUUUGUUUUUAAUGGUAGAUGUAAUUUUUUUGUUGUAGUUUCUCGUUAUUGUGUUUGAGAUGUUUGCUAUCUGGGAAAGUUGAAGAGCUAAAUGUAAUUUUUGUUUUGGUUUACUUGAGUUUGUGAUUGUAUUUGAGUUUAUUUGUAAUUGUCUCACAAUUUCAGUGCCUACUUAUUUUAGUUUGUUGUAAUUUCAUUCGACUUAGUUGUUUGUGUUAUUUGUUUGGAAUUGCAAAAAAAUGAAUUGGAUUUUUCUUUCGGUAUACUUGGAUUUGUUAUUGUAUUUGAGUUUAUUUGUAUUUUUAUUCUAAUUUCAGUUUCUAAUUACAAUUUGUUUGCUUUGCAUUGUUCAUAUCGAUCUAGCGUCAUAUAGAUUUUUAGUGCUCAAAUCCAUCCUUCAACUAAGUUAUGGUAGCAUAAUUUAAAAAUUAUUGUUUGAUUAGUUAGUAAAAAAUAAAAAUAAUUGACUAAUCAUAUAAUAAAAUUAUUAGGUAAAAUUUCAUAUGAACUCUCUUCCUCUGCCGUUCUAGUUCUCUUCUUCGUACACACUCUCUCCCUCUUUUAUUGCUCACAUACCGUAAAGCAUGCCGUAGGCUAUACUGAGAACCUGCCAGCGUAAGUAAGAGAGCCAGUAUUCGCAAGUUUACUACAACAAAUAAUUAUGUAAAAUCAUUAAAAUAAAAUUUGAAUUUUCAUCACUUACAACACAAUUUUAAAGAAUAGUUAGGACCUCCUUCCUUUUGCUAGCGACUAAAAUCUAUGAAAUAUAAUGUGAAAGACAAGAAGAAAGAGAUACCUCAUAAAAGACAUUAAAGUUAAUCAACAUUCAAUUCCUAAUCUUAUUUGAAAAUAGCAAUUCUAGCUAUCUAAUUUUAAAUAUAUCUCUAAGGAUGAUAUCAUAUAUUUGCCAACAACCACAACUCAUUCUGUUUACUAACCAUGAUUCAAAGGAAAAAAACCAACAGACCAUACAGAGAAAAGUAAAUUAUCUUAAAAAAAUUAUUAGCUUAUUCAAGUUACCCUAAAAAUAUUAAUUGCAUUGCAUUUCUUAAAAAUAAUAUUGAUCAACCAUUAUCUGUGAGCUAAAAGUCAAAGUUAUAACGAGUGCAUAUUAUUUUGCAAAUGGUAAACGAGUUACUUUCAAGCAACUGACGAAAUCAUUCAAUCGCAUUUUAGGAUUGAAGAUUAAGUUUAAGAAUGAUUAAAGAGAGAGAGAGAGAGAGAGAGAGAGAGAGAAGAGAUACUGAGUGUUUUAGGAAGCCACCAACCAAAAUUGAGCAAGUUCUCAGCUUCCCAUCUGUGGAUAGGUGUGGAGGAAAUAUAUCAGGAUGAUCACUGAAUAGUGAAGGGAACAUUUCAUCAUACUGAAGAUGCAAAUGUUGCAACAAUUGAAAAAAUAAAUGAGAAGUAUGCAACAUAGAUAAUAAAAUAAUGAGAUAAAAUUUUAUACCCACUUUCUUCCUCUGUUGCUCUGGUUCUCUUCUUCGUACACACUCUCUCUCUUUUGUCGCUCAAAGAUCGUAAAACAUGCAGCAGACUAUACUGAGAACUUGUUAGCAUAAGUAAGAGAGCCAGUAGUCUCAUGUUUGCUACAACAAAUCAACAUGCAAAAUCAUUAAAAUGAAAAUUUAAUUUUCAUCACUUACAGUGCAAUUUUAAAGAAUGCUCAGGAUCUCCAUUCUCUUGCCAACGAGCGAGAAAAAAGACAAACAUAUCAAAACCCAAAAAAAUAUAAUGUGAAAGACAAGAAAAAAGAAAUACCACAUAAAACACAGUAGUUCUUCGUACCAAUUCAGUAAAUGCAACCUUAUUAAAAAAAUUAAAGAAUCAAAAGAAACUACUGACCACUCCUGCAACCGAAGAAAACAAGUUUCCGCCGUCACUAGUAUCUGCCAUCAAAUCGAACCAUAGAUCUACUUUUUCACUAAAAUGAUCAUGCAGUAGAUCUCCAUGUUAAGCUCCAUCUGGUAACUUUUUAAAACUUAAUGUGAUAGAUGAUGCAGAAAUAGAUAGCGUUGUAAAUCUCUCCAAUUCCAUCAAAAAAAUAAAAAAAAAAUUAGGCUAAAAAAAGCAAAAAAAAAAAAAAAAUAGAAAAAUAUGAUAAAAGAAGGAAGACAAACCUCUUAUUCCACAGAUACCUCAUAAUUCACGUCUAAAAGAGUGCUACCAACAAAAGAAAACAAAACACAAAUGACACAUCUUGACCAUCUUAAACAUUUUUUCUAAAGAGUUACACGCUAACAAAAUAUAAAAAAUUUAUCUACCCAAAAAGAUAAAAACAUAUGCUUAUUUACCUUAAAAGUACUCACUAAGAUUGAUAAUAACCUUCGGUAGUCCUAUAUUAAAGUAAACAAAAAUAAUAUUGCUAAGUAAAUAAUUUUUUUUGGAUAAAUAUUACUAAGUAUAUAAUCCUAAAUAGAAAAGAAAAUAUGUAAUAAAAAAUAAAAUUUAUGUCAUAAGCAUAGGAAAAUAAACAUUUUAUUCCACGUAUAUCUUAUAACCCAACAAGUUUCAAACAGUGUUGCCCACAAAAGAGAACAAAACAGAGAUAAUAUAUGAUUGGUCUUUGUUCAAUAUUUUGCCUAAAAAUUUUCAUAAGAAUAAAGAAAGAAAAUUUUAACUAAUUAUAAAAAAAAACAUAAUAUUAAAUACGUAUUUAUUUACCUGAUUUUUGCCAUUUGAAAUCUACAACAACUACCCAAAACUGAGCAUAUCAAUUUAUAAAUGAUCAAGACCCUUUUACGUUUUAAUUAAAAUAAGAAGAAAACCAAUACCAAUUAAAUAUAACAUAUGUGCACAGCUUGGCAUGAUCGGAUAUCAAAACUUCAAAUUAAAAAAGAACGAUUUAAAUCAAGAAGAACAGAUAUUAAAAGAGGAUAAUUUUGUUGUCUGCUGCAUAACAUUAAAAACAGCCUCAAGUAUUGCUAUGUUAAUGUACACAUAAAGAAAUUCACUGACGAAAUAAUGCUAAAUUGUUUCAAUUUAUAAUCAUUUAACCUCACGCAAAUAUUAAAAUGAGAUAUUCUUUUUCAGGGUUGAUACUUGGGUUUUACUCUUUUUUCUUGUCAGUUUGUAAGGGUAGUUGUAAUUUUUUACCGGUACUUUGUCGUUAAUUUGUUUGAGAUUUUUGUUUGCUGGAAAAGUUGAAGAGCUAAAUGUAAUUUUUGUUUUGGUUUACUUGAGUUUGUGAUUGUAUUUGAGUUUGUUCGUAAUUGUAUUAGAAUUUGAGCGCCUACUUGUUAUAAUUUUGCUCGAGUUAGUUGUUUGUUUCAUUUGUUUGGAAUUGCAAAAAAAAUCAAUUGGAUUUUUCUUUCAGUGUACUUGGAUUUGUAACUGUAUUUGAGUUUGUUUGUAUUUUUGUUCCAAUUUUGGUUUCUAAUUAUAAUUUGUUUGCUUUGCAUUGUUCAUAUCGAUCUAUCGUCAUGUAGCUUUUUAGUAUUCAAAUCCAUCCUUCAACUAGGUUAUGGUAGCAUAAUUUGAAAAUUAUUAUUUGAUUAGUUAGUAAAAAAUAAAAAUAAUUGACUAAUCGAUCUAUCGUCAUGUAGCUUUUUAGUGUUCAAAUCCAUGUAGCUUUGUAGCUUUUUAGUGUUCAACUAAGUUAUGGUAGCAUACUUUAAAAAUUAUUAUUUGAUUAGUUAGUAAAAAAUAAAAAUAAUUGACUAAUCAGAUAAUAAAAUAAUGAGGUAAAAUUUCAUACGUUCUCGCUUCCUCUGUCGC
rnacentral:lncRNA from 1 species